UACGGAGGGUGCGAGCGUUGUCCGGAAUCACUGGGCGUAAAGAGCGUGUAGGCGGCUUUACAGGUCCGUUGUGAAAACUCGAGGCUCAACCUCGAGACGCCGGUGGAAACCGUAAGGCUAGAGUCCGGAAGAGGAGAGUGGAAUUCCUGGUGUAGCGGUGAAAUGCGCAGAUAUCAGGAAGAACACCCGUGGCGAAGGCGGCUCUCUGGGCCUUACCUGACGCUGAGGAGCGAAAGCGUGGGUAGCGAACAGG
rnacentral:rRNA from 1 species